GCGCACCAGGCGCGGAAACUCCGCAAUGCGCGAAAGCGUGACGGGGGAACCCCAAGUGCCGCUGUACUUUGUACGGCGGCUUUUCGAGAGCGUAAGAAGCUCUCGGAAUAAGGGCUGGGCAAGACUGGUGCCAGCCGCCGCGGUAAUACCAGCAGCCCAAGUGGUGGUCACGAUUAUUGGGCCUAAAGCGCUCGUAGCCGGGUUGAUGUGUCCCUUGUGAAAUCGGGCGGCUCAACCAUUCGGCUUGCAAGGGAUACUAUCAGCCUUGGGGUCGGGAGAGGUCGAGGGUACUCCGGGGGUAGCGGUGAAAUGCUGUAAUCCUUGGGGGACCACCAGUGGCGAAGGCGCUCGGCGAGAACGGACCUGACGGUGAGGGGCGAAGGCUAGGGGAGCGAACGGGAUUAGAUACCCCGGGUAGUCC
rnacentral:rRNA from 1 species